rnacentral:rRNA from 1 species
GAUGAACGCUGGCGGCGUGCCUAAUACAUGCAAGUCGAGCGAGAAGACGAGGAGCUUGCUCCUCUGACGUUAGCGGCGGACGGGUGAGUAACACGUGGAUAACCUACCUAUAAGACUGGGAUAACUUCGGGAAACCGGAGCUAAUACCGGAUAAUAUAUUGAACCGCAUGGUUCAAUAGUGAAAGACGGCUUUGCUGUCACUUAUAGAUGGAUCCGCGCCGCAUUAGCUAGUUGGUAAGGUAACGGCUUACCAAGGCAACGAUGCGUAGCCGACCUGAGAGAGUGAUCGGCCACACUGGAACUUGGACACGGUCCAGACUCCUACGGGAGGCAGCAGUAGGGAAUCUUACGCAGUGGUCGAAAGCCUGACGGAGCAACGCCGCGUGAGUGAUGAAGGUCUUCGGAUCGUAAAACUCUGUUAUGAGGGAAGAACAAAUUUGUAAUUAACUGUGCACGGCUUGACGGUACCUGAUCAGAAAGCCACGGCUAACUACGUG